UUGGAACACAGUAAAAAAUGCUGGGUUAUUUUCAUAACCCAAUUUCUGGGUUGAAGCUGUUGGGUCAUAGGUUGGGUUAGUUUGACCAAAUAUUGGGUCAAAAUUCAUAACUCAUGAGUUGGGUCAGAAAUUUACCGGAAGUCUACAUCUUGAACACUUCUUUUGGGGCAGGAGUUGGGUAGAUUUACCCAAACGGUUGGGUUAAAGAUGAAACUUGGAAGAAGCCACGCCCCUCUUCACAAGCCUCCAUUUUCAACAAGACUGUGAACGUUGCAUAUCGGACUUCUCCUCUACUUUGAAACAAGACAUGAUUUUGUAAUUUUACAUCCAGGAUCUUCAGGAGAAUUGAGCAAAACCCAAACUCCUUGUUCUCAACAAAGACCUUCUGUAUGGCCAAGAACAUGAGUCUGCUCCCUCAAGGUAUUGAAGCUCAGAAGAAAUGUUCUCUAAA